UUACACCUUCAAAAUAACUAAUCGGUUGCUGCUCAGAAUUUGUAUAUCCCCAAUUCAAUUUUGGGUAGUUUUGGGUCGCCAGUAUACAGAUGUGAACUAAAACUAGAUUAGUCAACUCUGUAUAAAAAGUUUGCUGUUGUUGGAAUUUAGUUUGAAGGGAUGUCGAAGCGAAAAAAGAAAAAAUAUUUUAACUUUUUGAUCGCGGAGGAUCAUUUUAACAACCGAAUCCGGUGACACAGAAGCUAAUUUGACUGAGCAAGGAAUGUCAAUCGAAAUUUAAAAAAGGUAAAGUUGCUUGCAUCACGAACAUUUAAUUAACUAAAAUUUUUCCAAUAUACUUUUUUCGAACUGUUAGAAACAACGUCUGAAAAUGCGAGCCAGUGCCGAGAAAGCGCUCGUCAAGAAAAGGAACGGACAGAUUCUGCAGAAAACGCUGGUGAACGAGCUGGAACAAUUGUUCCAUAAGAUAUGAUGGAUCUGAUUGGAAAAUUUUCGUAGCCUAUCCGGACAUCGCCAUCCGAUGGAACUUUCGCUGGAUGUGCAUCGAACAAUUCUGCCAAAAUAAAAAAAACCAAGCACCAUCGAUAAAUAUCUGGGCUCCUCGGAACUCUUACUUAAGGUUAACCCGGAACGGGACUGCGGCGGGGAGCGACGGCGGUGUAUUCUGGAAAAGGGAGCCAAAUUAGAACCGAGAAAUUGAUCUCUGCACUGCAUUCCCAUACGUACAAAAAUGUACAUUAUUCCUUUUUUCAUCGGAAACGGCGAAUUGUGUUACAGUUGGUGUUAUUCAACUUCGGACCCGUCAACGGGAGAGAAACACCUGCUAUGGCUAAAAUGAACCGGUGCUGAACAGAGUUAACGAACCUGGAACGGGCGCUGGUUUUCGAUAAGACCAAAAUUCUGCAUCAGAUGUUGGCCGCUUAUGAUCCGAACGGUGCCCGGUCAAAGAAGAUUGAGAGUUUCUGGCGGAAGAAAAAAACUCACAAGCAUCUAUACUGAAGCGAAGCUAUGGAUGCGUUUAAAUCGUUUGUUUCAUUACCUUUAAUGAUA